rnacentral:rRNA from 1 species
UCGAGGAUCUUCGGCAAUGGGCGCAAGCCUGACCGAGCGACGCCGCGUGUGCGAUGAAGGCCUUCGGGUUGUAAAGCACUGUCGAGGGGGAUAAAGCCCGCAAGGGUUGAUUGAUCCCUGGAGGAAGCACGGGCUAAGUUCGUGCCAGCAGCCGCGGUAAGACGAACCGUGCGAACGUUGUUCGGAAUCACUGGGCUUAAAGGGCGCGUAGGCGGCAUGGCAAGUCCGGGGUGAAAGCCCCCAGCUCAACUGGGGAAGUGCCUUGGAAACUGCGGUGCUGGAGGGAGGUAGGGGUCGAGGGAACUUCUGGUGGAGCGGUGAAAUGCGUUGAUAUCAGAAGGAACGCCGGUGGCGAAAGCGCUCGACUGGACCUUUUCUGACGCUGAGGCGCGAAAGCUAGGGGAGCAAACGGGAUUAGAUACCCCCGUAGUCC